rnacentral:rRNA from 1 species
AAAAGUGAUGGCCACGCGCCUACACAUGUCAGUCGAACGGGAUCCAUCGGGCUUUGCUUGGUGGUGAGAGUGGCGAACGGGUGAGUAAUGCGUGACCGACCUGCCCCAUGCACCGGAAUAACUCCUGGAAACGGGUGGUAAUGCCGGAUGCUCCAUCACACCGCAUGGUGUGUUGGGAAAGCCUUUGCGGCAUGGGAUGGGGUCGCGUCCUAUCAGCUUGAUGGCGGGGUAACGGCCCACCAUGGCUUCGACGGGUAGCCGGCCUGAGAGGGCGACCGGCCACAUUGGGACUGAGAUACGGCCCAGACUCCUACGGGAGGCAGCAGUGGGGAAUAUUGCACAAUGGGCGCAAGCCUGAUGCAGCGACGCCGCGUGAGGGAUGGAGGCCUUCGGGUUGUAAACCUCUUUUGUUAGGGAGCAAGGCACUUUGUGUUGAGUGUACCUUUCGAAUAAGCACCGGCUAACUACGUGCCAGCAGCCGCGGUAAUACGUAGGGUGCAAGCGUUAUCCGGAAUUAUUGGGCGUAAAGGGCUCGUAGGCGGUUCGUCGCGUCCGGUGUGAAAGUCCAUCGCUUAACGGUGGAUCCGCGCCGGGUACGGGCGGGCUUGAGUGCGGUAGGGGAGACUGGAAUUCCCGGUGUAACGGUGGAAUGUGUAGAUAUCGGGAAGAACACCAAUGGCGAAAGCAAGUCUCUGGGCCGUUACUGACGCUGAGGAGCGAAAGCGUGUGGAGCGAACAGGAUUAGAUACCCUGGUAGUCCACGCCGUAAACGGUGGAUGCUGGAUGUGGGGCCCGUUCCACGGGUUCCGUGUCGGAGCUAACGCGUUAAGCAUCCCGCCUGGCGAGUACGGCCGCCAGGCUACACUCACAGAAAUUGACCUAGGGCCCGCACAAGCGGCGGAGCAUGCAGGAUUAAUUCGAUGCACUCGAAUAAACUUACCUGGGCUUGACAUGUUCCCGACGAUCCUAUACAUGGGGUUUCCCUUCGGCGUCGGCGUCAUAGGCGUAGCAUGGUCCUCGACAGCUCGUGUCGUGAGAUGUGGGUUAGGUCCGCACGAGCGCAACCUCGACGCGUGGUUGCCAGCCGCAUUGUCGCGGGACUCCCGGGGGGACCGCCGGGGAUUACUCCG